CCUACGGGAGGCAGCAGUAGGGAAUCUUCCACAAUGGGCGCAAGCCUGAUGGAGCAACACCGCGUGAGUGAAGAAGGGUUUCGGCUCGUAAAGCUCUGUUGUUGGAGAAGAACGUGCGUGAGAGUAACUGUUCACGCAGUGACGGUAUCCAACCAGAAAGUCACGGCUAACUACGUGCCAGCAGCCGCGGUAAUACGUAGGUGGCAAGCGUUAUCCGGAUUUAUUGGGCGUAAAGCGAGCGCAGGCGGUUGCUUAGGUCUGAUGUGAAAGCCUUCGGCUUAACCGAAGAAGUGCAUCGGAAACCGGGCAACUUGAGUGCAGAAGAGGAAAGUGGAACUCCAUGUGUAGCGGUGGAAUGCGUAGAGAUAUGGAAGAACACCAGUGGCGAAGGCGGCUGUCUGGUCUGCAACUGACGCUGAGGCUCGAAAGCAUGGGUAGCGAACAGGAUUAGAUACCCCUGUAGUC
rnacentral:rRNA from 1 species